ensembl:lncRNA
UUGAUUGAUGGUUUCCUUAUUUUAAAAAAUACUAUCCAUUGUUCUUGGAAUCAUAAUGAAGAACAUUAGAACAUUUCUUUCAUCAAAAUCUGAGAGAUUACUCACAUUAAAAAAUUAAUAACAAAUUUAAUGAGCUGAGAUGGAAGGCACAAGUUGAAGUUGCUGAGUUGUGACCGACUCUUUGUGACCCCAUGGACUGCAGCCUGCCAGGCUCCUCUGUCCAUGGGAUUUCCCAGGCAAGAAUACUGGACCACGGCUAUACACUCAGAUUAUCACUGAGUCCCUUCAUCUCAGGAACGCAUCCUUUUAAAGACUGGUGUCACUAUAUACAGCAAAAUAUGUGGUUUCCAUGCUCUAUAUC